UGUUAAUCAAUCAAGCUGAAGGUUAGCCGCUGUAGACAGACAAAACUACUUUGUUUUGGGAGGCCCUAAAGGUGAUGUUUAUUGAUUCGAUGGUUAAAUCCUUAUUUCAAUAUUUGAUUUCAGAUUUAGAGUUUUAAUAUUUUUUAAAUCCAGGUUAUUGUUGUUCCUUUCAGGCGACGCUCAUCUAAGCCUUUAUCAUCAUCUUAACACCUUCAAAGAUCUCCAGAGACAAGGCUCGCUGUAUGAGUUUGGUGACGCUUCUGUCGCGAUAAGAUUUACGGAUCAGACCGUCUUGGUUGAUCUCGCAUCACCCAGCCAACCGAUCUUGACAGAACGUUUUAGGUUCAGCAAUUAUGACCAACUCAUGACACUCACUAACACCAACUGAUUUGUUAGAUAUUUAUCUUACGGGAAGGUUAGGGGUAUCAAAACGUUUUCCAAUGAUGAGACCAAAGUACUCAAUGCAUCAUGGGAACCAUGAAAUUUGAAAGUAUUAGGUUUGAUCUAUCCAGGGAGUCAAGCGUGUACCUCAGUGUAUUUGACUGCCUUGCUAAGUUCCUCAAUGAGAAGUUUGCUGCCUCUGGUGUGGAACCAAAGGUGGUAGUGCCAGCAAACAUAAACCCAAAGUAAGUUGGAGGUCGGCUCAUUCUGAAAUGCCGCUAUCACAUUGUCUAGAAGACAUUGUUGGCAGCAUUCUGACCUUUGAAUUGAAACUCUCUCCAUUCAACUUCUCUACCAACUAUCAAAGUUUCACCAUCUCUCGCUUUUUUAAAAGCCACCAGCGACCACCACUACCUUUGUUUGAGAAUCAUGGUGGUGAUGACAUGCCUGGUGGUAGUGCUUUGAAAAGGAGUCCUCUAGGUUUGAACAGUCGUGACCUGAACUAAAGUGGCUGCAGUGGUGAUUCGAUUGUUGAGGGCGAGAGAGCAACCACUGGUUUAAACAGUCGUGCCUGAAAAAACUAUGUUGUUUUUUUUAAUGAGUUUCCUGGGAUUUAUGCUCUGAAUUUUAUGCUAAAAUAGUAACUCUUCGUACUCAGAUUCUAUGUUUUUAGUAUGAGAAUAACCUCUCAUCGAAAUUACUUUGAUAA